CGCGGGAUUGGGUGCAGCAGGCGCGAAAACUUUACAAUGCGGGAAACCGCGAUAAGGGAAUACUGAGUGCCAGCAUAUUAUGUUGGCUGUCCACCUGUAUAAAUAGCAGGUGUUAGCAAGGGCCGGGCAAGACCGGUGCCAGCCGCCGCGGUAACACCGGCGGCCCGAGUGGUGGCCACUAUUAUUGGGUCUAAAGGGUCCGUAGCCGGUUUGAUCAGUCUUCCGGGAAAUCUGACAGCUCAACUGUUAGGCUUCCGGGGGAUACUGUCAGACUUGGGACCGGGAGAGGUAAGAGGUACUACAGGGGUAGGAGUGAAAUCUUGUAAUCCUUGUGGGACCACCAGUGGCGAAGGCGUCUUACCAGAACGGGUCCGACGGUGAGGGACGAAAGCUGGGGGCACGAACCGGAUUAGAUACCCGGGUAGUCCCAGCCGUAAACGAUGCUCGCUAGGUGUCUGGGAUGGUGCGACCGUUUCAGGUGCCGCAGGGAAGCCGUGAAGCGAGCCACCUGGGAAGUACGGCCGCAAGGCUGAAACUUAAAGGAAUUGGCGGGGGGAGCACUACAACGGGUGGAGCCUGCGGUUUAAUUGGACUCAACGCCGGAAAACUCACCUGGGGCGACAGCAAUAUGUAGGUCAGGCUGAAGGUCUUACCUGAAUCGCUGAGAGGAGGUGCAUGGCCGUCGUCAGUUCGUACUGUGAAGCAUCCUGUUAAGUCAGGCAACGAGCGAGACCCGUGCCCACUGUUGCCAGCAUAUCCUUAGGGAUGAUGGGUACUCUGUGGGGACCGCUGGUGCUAAACCAGAGGAAGGUGCGGGCUACGGUAGGUCAGUAUGCCCCGAAUCUCCAGGGCUACACGCGGGCUACAAUGACCGGGGCAAUGGGUCCCUACCCCGAAAGGGGUUGGUAAUCUCAUAAACCCGGCCGUAGUUCGAAUUGAGGGCUGCAACUCGCCCUCAUGAAGCUGGAAUCCGUAGUAAUCGCGUUUCAAUAUAGCGCGGUGAAUACGUCCCUGCUCCUUGCACGAAUUCGCCGAAUCACUAGU
rnacentral:rRNA from 1 species